rnacentral:rRNA from 1 species
UACGUAGGGGGCAAGCGUUGUCCGGAUUUAUUGGGCGUAAAGAGCGUGUAGGCGGCUUGGUAGGUCCGCUGUGAAAACUAGAGGCUUAACCUCUAGACGUCGAUGGAAGCCGUCUGGCUAGAGUCCGGAAGAGGAGAAUGGAAUUCCUGGUGUAGCGGUGAAAUGCGCAGAUAUCAGGAAGAACACCCGUGGCUAACGCGGUUCUCUAGUACGGUACUGACGCUGAGACGCGAAAGCGUGGGGAGCGAACAGG